ACACGCAUGCGCAUGGGCGGAGAGUGGGGGGGAACCAGCAACACAGACAGCGCGGUCUGGUUUUGGGGGCAGCCGGCGGGAGAGUUCGGCAACUCCCUGAAGCUGAGGCGCAGCGGAGUGUGGCCACAGAGAAGAGCAAUUUAAACCUUGUGGGCUCUGCCGGGAGUCGGCGGCCGGACGCCAGCAGCUAUAAGAAGUAGACCAAUCACGUGACUUCCUACGGUGCGAGCCAUGGCACUACCGUUCCGGAAGGACUUAGGGGAAUAUAAGGACCUGGAUGAAGAUGAGCUCCUUGGCAAUCUGUCAGAAACAGAGCUGAAACAGCUUGAAACUGUCCUGGAUGAUCUCGACCCCGAGAAUGCCCUUCUGCCUGCAGGGUUUCGGCAAAAGAACCAGACAUCAAAGUCUGCCACAGGGCCCUUCGAUAGAGAACGUCUCCUUUCUUAUCUAGAGAAGGAAGCAUUGGAGCACAAAGACCGGGAAGACUAUGUGCCCUACACUGGAGAGAAGAAAGGGAAAAUUUUUAUCCCCAAACAGAAACCUGUGCAGACUUUCACAGAAGAUAACAUAUCUCUUGAUCCAGAGUUAGAAGAAGCUUUGACAAGUGCCUCUGACACAGAACUGUGUGACCUUGCAGCUAUCCUUGGGAUGCACAAUCUGAUUACAAACACUCAGUUCUGUGAUGUGGUGGGAAGCAGUAAUGGUGUUGACCAAGAACAUUUUUCAAAUGUGGUAAAAGGGGAAAAGAUUCUUCCAGUGUUUGAUGAGCCACCAAAUCCAACCAAUGUUGAAGAGAGUUUAAAGAGAAUUAAGGAAAAUGAUGCCCGUCUUGUUGAAGUUAAUUUGAAUAAUAUUAAAAAUAUCCCAAUUCCAACUCUAAAAGAUUUUGCAAAGACUUUGGAAACCAACACACAUGUGAAACAUUUCAGUCUUGCGGCCACCAGGAGCAAUGACCCCGUGGCUGUUGCAUUUGCAGACAUGCUGAAAGUGAAUAAAACUUUGAAGAGUUUAAAUAUGGAGUCCAACUUCAUCACAGGCACUGGGGUUUUAGCACUGAUUGAUGCUUUGAGAGACAAUGAGACCCUGACAGAGCUCAAGAUCGACAAUCAGAGACAGCAGUUGGGCACAGCUGUAGAAUUAGAAAUGGCUAAGAUGCUUGAAGAAAAUACGAAUAUCCUUAAAUUUGGGUAUCAGUUUACACAGCAGGGACCCCGAACCAGGGCAGCCAAUGCUAUAACGAAAAACAACGACUUAGGGAUCCUGGCGGCCUGACCUGACACAGUCUACUGGGCAGAUAACUCGCAUUCAGCUUGCAGACGGGGUUAUAUCCGAUCUCUGUCCUGGUUUUUAUAAUACCUUCUCGUCUUCUUACUCUCGGCUGUCCACUGAAAUCCUUCUGCCUACUCGUCAUCUCUCCAGCUAAGAAAGAAGUGUCCCAGCUCUAACAGAAGAGUGCGCAAGAGGCGAAUUGAAGGAGACCACCAGUAAGAAUGCCGAGGUUAACCUUGGAAGCCUGCAGAUCACCAGAGGCUCCUGUUGGGACAGCAGAUGUAAAAACUUCCUGGGGAGAAGGGAAAAGACUGGAAAUCUUUUUUUUUUUUUUAACUAUAUGUAGUAUUUUCCUAGCUUAAGGUAUUAUAUUUGAUUUGUAAAAUCAGUGAUGGGUAGAAUUAUAUUUGUAGCCUUUCUACUGAAAUCAUUUUAAUUUAGCUUAAUUGAAUGGCUUAUAAUUUUUAGAUAAAAAUUUAGAAGUCAUGUAUAUAAGAAUAAUUUUGAACACCUUGAGGACCAAUCUUUUUAAAUCAAAAAGGGACAUUGCUGACUCAGUGUUGCUCCUUACACAUAAAGGGUAAGGCACAUGGCAGUUUCCUUUUUAAAAAAAAUCCAUGAAUUUGGCGAGAGUUUGCUUUUUCCUUAUUAGGGAAAUAAAUUUUCAGAAUUUUAAAAGAUGGCUCAGCAUCUGAUUUAUCUCCAUAAGCCAGCGUAGGCCUCCAGGAGAGAGACCGGUCCUCCUCUGGGAGACAGAAUGGGCCACUGUGUUGCAGGCUUCUGGUCUUAUCAACUGAGCCUCAGCUACACUGGGGUUUUUGUUUGUCUGUCUGUUUGUUAAUACUCCAUAAUACUGCCCCACUGCCUGCCUUGUUUAGAAGUAUAGUUAUAUCUAAGAUUACUACAGUAUUUCAUCUUGUGGGCAUUAAAUUUUUGGAAAAGCUAAUGGUUAAAGAGCAUCGAAAUAGAGAGGUUAUUUUUCUUCCCCAUAAAAGGCUCUUGGGCAAUACUCAGUUACUUAGAGUAAAAGAAAAAAGAAAGGUGCUGUUAGAUAUAGGAGGGAGUUCAAGCCCAAGAAACUCGUUACAUGGCCAUUAAAGCUGGUGAGCACUGUCAGUUAGAAAGUAAGACAAAGACAUGAGCUAGCUAUGGUGACUCGCUCCUAUAAUCCUAGCACUCGGGAAGCUGAGAAAGGAAUAGUUCCAGAUGUUCAAAGCCAGCCUGGACUACAUAGGAAAUUCCAGGUUAGCUUGGACUACAGAUAUGAGAACCCAGGUCAAGAAAAGAAAAACCUGUACUGUGUGGUAAAACGUUCCUUACAUGAUUGCGUAGGUGCACUGCAGCAUUGCAUGCAUAGAGUUAAUCCCCACUCCACAGUGUUCCAGCCAAUCGCAAAAACUGCCAUUCUUCGGAAAUCCAAGUUUAGCAGAUGCUUCCUUUCAUCUUGUACUUUUAAAAAUCCAUAUGGUUAAAAAAAAUUCCUAUAGCAUAGAUUAUGUUUAUCACCCAGGCAUAGAGUGAGGACUUGAGACCACACUGCAGACUGGGGUUGGCAAGGCUGCACACUGAUGCCCUGUCCCAGAGCAGCUCCUACAGAGGGAGUAGCAGAGGCGUUCACGGCCACAGGCAGCAGAGGAAAAGGUCCAGUGUGAAUCCGUUGACUUUGCUUAGACCAUUCCAGUUCUGUUCUAUAGUACGUUGUAUAGCUGAAGAAAAUACUUCUUUAUAAGCAACUUAAGUCUGAACUCAUUUGAUUAAAUAGAUAUGUCUUAAGAAUUAUAAUGGAAAGCCGGGCGGUGGUGGCGCACGCCUUUAAUCCCAGCACUCGGGAGGCAGAGGCAGGCGGAUCUCUGUGAGUUCAAGGCCAACCUGGUCCACAAGAGCUAGUUCCAGGACAGGAACCAAAAGCUACGGAGAAACCCUGUCUCGAAAAUUAAAAAAAAAAAAAAGGAGGCCAGGCAUGGGGACGCACACCUUUAAUCCCAGCACUCGGGAGGAAAUCGCAGGUGGAUCUCUGCGAGUUCCAGGACAGCCAGAGCUGUUACACAGAGAAACCCUGUCUUGAAAGAAAAAAAAAUUUCUAAUGGAAAACAGUGUUUACCUUGAUCUUUAAAAGUCUGGCACCUCUUGACUUUUUAGUAACUCAGUAUUUUUAAAUUCCUCUGAGAUUUUUAUGACAUAGUAAUAAAUUAGGACUUUGCAACAGUUUUAAUUUUAAGCCAGAGAUUUUCUAAGCCCUUGAGUUUUAUGUCAAGUUAAAUGGUUAUCUAAGAAUAACAUUCAUGUUUUUAAAUUGCUCUUUUAAAAAGCUUUAAAUUGCCCAUUUCAUAAAACUGUGUAUUUGUUUUUGUAUUGUUACAAUUUUCAUUAUGUCUACAUCAAAGUGUAUACAUUAAAUUCAAUGUUACUGGCUAAUAUUAAUACCUUGAACGUAGAUUUUGGUGCUAUACACUUAUUAUAGCUGAAACCUAGUGGAGUUUAAAGAAUAAGUAAAAUACAUUUUCUAAAGGUGCCUGUCAUUUCAAAGACCAAAUAAACAUUUUGUAUUGAACAUAUAAGCAGAUGUUGGUGAUUCCAAGGAGAGUGUCGUGGUCAUUAAGUUACAUAUUAUCCCUGGUCACAUUAGCCACACACUUAUACAAGGGGCACACUCCUGAAGAGGUGAUAUAAAUAGAACCUUAAAAAUUAUUUCCAACUGAUGAUCCCUUCAUGUGUUUUUCUUUAAAGGUGAUAUAAUAAAAUUAUAAAAGAAACUGCCUUAAUAAA